UGACCAUGUGACCAUAAAAUAAUUAGUAGUCAUCUUCUCCUGAAGAUGUACCAGUGUACCAAGUUUGAUGUCUGUCAAGCAAAGGGUUCUCAAGAUAUUGAGAUACUAAUUGCCAAUUGGAUACUGUAUACAGGUGUAUUUAGGUAAGCGUGGUUUUACUACUUAUAUUAUAACAAUGUUUCAGAUAUUAUGGAAUUCCUUGCAAAAAUGAAACUGCUCAUGUGGAAAGCUGAGCAGGAUAACUGGACACCAGUCAUGUUCAAUGAGAAACUGAAUCAACUUUUGACGGACAAUGGCUUCGUCUUCCAAUGUCCGAGUGUGCAUGAUUUAUGGGAAUUCCACCAAAAAAUUGUAAGCCGGUUUGCAGAAAGGUUAUCCGAAACCAAACCUUUCUCUGAGACAGAGGCUUGGCUAAAGAAAAUCCUACCCACAUACAUGACUACAGAUCCCACCCCGCCAUUACUGCCAUCCUCCAAGUGUACAUGAACUACAUCAAGUCAGCCAUGUUGCAUUUCGAACGUGACCAGCGAAAAUAUGGCCGACAUCACUAAUUUCAUGUCCCAAUUUCUUACACCACAUCAACUCGAGUAUUUGCAGUCCAUCAUUGAAUUCCUUAAUUCUGGGAAUACCAGCGACAUCGUGGAAAUGGGACAAAUGAGGAACGAAAAUACCGCUAACGGACAUUCCAAGGGCAGAUGCACUGAAUUCAACGGGGAAUGUAGAUGAAACCGACGCCUAGACUGUAUGGUGCAUGUGAUAUCCGACAUGGGAUGUCCAAACCAUGUGAAAGGGCUAUUCCUUACAGAAAUUGACCCUUUUGUAGUGCUUUCAAAAACUUCUUUGCUUUGAAAAAUAAAACAUCAAAUACCAAA